rnacentral:rRNA from 1 species
CAAUAGCGUAUAUUUAAGUUGUUGCAGUUAAAAAGCUCGUAGUUGAAACUUGGGCCUGGCUGGCGGGUCCGCCUCACCGCGUGCACUCGUCCGGCCGGGCCUUCCUUCUGAAGAACCUCAUGCCCUUCACUGGGCGUGCUGGGGAAUCAGGACUUUUACUUUGAAAAAAUUAGAGUGUUCAAAGCAGGCCUUUGCUCGAAUACGUUAGCAUGGAAUAAUAAAAUAGGACGUGCGGUUCUAUUUUGUUGGUUUUUGGAAUCGCCGUAAUGAUUAAUAGGGACAGUCGGGGGCAUUAGUACUCACAUGCUAGAGGUGAAAUUCUUGGAUUUUGUGAAGACUAACUUCUGCGAAAGCAUUUGACAAGGAUGUUUUCAUUAA